AACGAACGCUGGCGGCGUGCUUAACACAUGCAAGUCGAACGUGAAAGGCUUCGGCCGAGUAAAGUGGCGCACGGGUGAGUAACGCGUGGGUAAUCUGCCCUUGGGCGGGGGAUAACCUCUCGAAAGGGGGGCGUAAUACCGCAUGAGACCACGGCUUCUCGGGGCUGUGGGAAAAGGUGGGUCGCAAGGCCUGCCACCUGAGGAUGAGCCCGCGUACCAUUAGGUUGUUGGUGGGGUAAUGGCCUACCAAGCCGAAGAUGGUUAGCUGGUCUGAGAGGACGAUCAGCCACACUGGGACUGAGACACGGCCCAGACUCCUACGGGAGGCAGCAGUGGGGGAAUAUUGCGCAAUGGGGGGAAACCCUGACGCAGCAACGCCGCGUGUGUGAAGAAGGCC
rnacentral:rRNA from 1 species